rnacentral:rRNA from 1 species
AACGAACGCUGGCGGCAUGCCUAACACAUGCAAGUCGAACGAGAGCUUCGGCUCUAGUGGCGCACGGGUGCGUAACGCGUGGGAAUCUGCCCUUGGGUUCGGAAUAACAGUUGGAAACGACUGCUAAUACCGGAUGAAGUCGAUAAGACCAAAGAUUUAUCGCCCGAGGAUGAGCCCGCGUCGGAUUAGCUAGUUGGUGGGGUAAAGGCCUACCAAGGCGACGAUCCGUAGCUGGUCUGAGAGGAUGAUCAGCCACACUGGGACUGAGACACGGCCCAGACUCCCACGGGAGGAAGCAGGGGGGAAUAUUGGAAAAUGGGCGCAAGCCUGAUCAAGCAAUGCCGCGUGAGUGAUGAAGGCCUUAGGGUUGUAAAGCUCUUUUACCCGGGAAGAUAAUGACGGUACCGGAAGAAUAAGCCCCGGCUAACUCCGUGCCAGCCGCCGCGGUAA